AUGGCCACCACCGCCGCCGACGUACCUGACGACUUCAAAAAGUGGUGGGAGACAUUCAACAAUGGCGUCGCCGUCGACCAAGGGCAAGACGACGAUGAAGACGGGACGGACUCCGAUUCCGGUUUCGAGCAGGGGCAGCAGCAGGAGGAGGAGAAUGCGGGCGAGGAGACGGCGUCGGAGGCCCACGCGCCCGCCGGGAGGGAGGGCGCCGCCGGCGAUUGCGACGAGGAGGGGGUUUCUGAGGAUAGCCGUUUUCCGCGUGAAGGUGAGCUGCAGGGAAGGAACAUAGAAGGAGACGCCAAACUAAAUACACCACGGGCUUCUGAAGAUGAAGCCGAGCAUGUUUCUGAGGACAGCUAUGUUCAGAUUGGAGGCGGGCUGCAGGGAAUGAAGAGAACAGCAACCGCCGAACGAUACGAACCGCAGGCUACCGGAAAUGAGAUCCAGAACGAAGAAGGUCAAGACGAGCACGUUUCUGAGGACAACUACGUUAAGAUUGGGGGCUGGGAGCAAGGAAGGAAGAGAGAAGUAACUGCUAAACGAAACGAACUGCAGGCUACUGGAAUUGAGAUCCAGAACGAAGAAGGUCAAGACAAGUAUGUUUCUGUAGACAACUACGUUCAGAUUGGAGGCUGGGAGCAAGGAAGGAAGAGGAAAGCAACCGUGACACCCAACGGAGUGCAACCGAUUGGAAUCGAGAUCCAGAACAAAACAAGUCAAGGUGAGUAUCUGAGAGCUGAGAAUCAGAGGCUGAGGCUGCAGCUUGUUCGCAAGACGAAAGAGCUCGAGGCUGAACAGAUUCAGAGGCUCGAACUGGAGUUGCAUUUCAAGACAGAGGAGAACAAGUCUUUGAAGAAGCAGAAUGAAGAGUUGAGAGCUGAAAAUGAGUACUACAGGAAGAUGAACAUGAAGAUGUCUGCGCUGCACUUGAUUUGUUUAGUCUCUGAUAUUCAUGUGAACUUCAGGGUGCUGGGCAACGACUGA
rnacentral:rRNA from 1 species